AGAAGAGGCUCCAGUAGUAGAGCCAUUUGAUUCACCAGUAUCCACAGAAGAAGCAUCUGAUGUCCUGGUGAUAGAACAGGAAAUAUUGGUUGUCCCAGUGACAGAAGAGACACCAGUUUCCUCUGUAACAGAAGAGGGAGCAGUUUCCUUGGUUACCGAAGAAGCUCCUGUUGCUGUGGCUGAAGAUGCACCUGUUGUAGCAACCGAAGAACUUGAGGAAACACCUGCAACCAAAGUAACAGAAGAGGUUAUUCCAGUGGUUGAGGAAGGUGUGGAAGUGAAGGCAGCAGAGGCUAUUGUUACAGAGGCUUCGGUAAGUAUAGUCGAUGAAGAAGCAGCAAGUCCAUUUGUGGAAGUUACAGAAAGUGUUGUUGAACCAGAUGUUGCAAGCACAGUGGUAGCUGAGAAAGUUGCUCUAGCUGAAACAUCAAGUGAGCCUGAUUCUUUGGAAGAGCCCAAACGAGACUACAUAGUGGUUAUCUUGGAGGGAGCUCCCAAAACAGAAAAGAAGCCCAUGGUGCUCGGUGUGUCCCCCAUGAUUGGCAAGAUCAUCUCAGCCCCUGAUGAUGGUGAAGAGCCAUCGGGACAGGUAACAGUUGGGAGCAGUCAGACGUUCUGGGAUAGUAAACUGGUUCCCUGAUAAAGAAUUAGUGAUGUGCCUCGCCCUUUUCUUACUUACCUGACCCCCUGGAUUUCAGUAAUCC
ensembl:lncRNA